AGCGAACGCUGGCGGCAGGCCUAACACAUGCAAGUCGAACGAACUCUUCGGAGUUAGUGGCGGACGGGUGAGUAACACGUGGGAACGUGCCUUUUGGUUCGGAAUAACUCAGGGAAACUUGUGCUAAUACCGAAUGUGCCCUUCGGGGGAAAGAUUUAUCGCCAUUAGAGCGGCCCGCGUCUGAUUAGCUAGUUGGUGAGGUAACGGCUCACCAAGGCGACGAUCAGUAGCUGGUCUGAGAGGAUGACCAGCCACACUGGGACUGAGACACGGCCCAGACUCCUACGGGAGGCAGCAGUGGGGAAUCUUGCGCAAUGGGCGAAAGCCUGACGCAGCCAUGCCGCGUGAAUGAUGAAGGUCUUAGGAUUGUAAAUUCUUUCACCGGGGACGAUAAUGACGGUACCCGGAGAAGAAGCCCCGGCUAACUUCGUG
rnacentral:rRNA from 1 species